AAUGGCAGCAUAGCAUAUCUCGCAUCCCGCAGCAGGUUGGUGCCCCAAUUGAUGAGGCCUAGAACCCCGUCCUGUUUCCCCAGUGCCUCCCUAAGGGGACCCACUCUACAUGACUCGUGAGGAGUACUUACAGCUUCAGUACUCUGUGGAUCAGGUCCAUAGUACUCUUCGUGAUCGCCACCCGAGUCUCAUGGAGUUGUGCACGGAUUUUCAGGUGCAUCGAGACUAUUCUCAGGCGACCUUCGACCAGCUACACGCCCACCAGCUCGACAUCUAGCAACGGGUUCAGGAUGAAGCCUUUGAGACGUGCUCUUUGAUGCAAGCCUUGUUUGCCCAGCAUUUCCCGCCACCACCGCCACCGGCUUCUCCGUAGUACCCAUUGUACCAGCAUGGUUCCUGAGACGAAGACAGGGCGACGUAAGAAAACGACAACUGACCCCAUGGCAUCACCCUCAGGAACAUCUGCACAUGUCAUUGUCACACCACAGACUUUAUCCGAUGAGACACAACCACCGGAUGACACACAAACAUUUGUGGAAGAGACACAGGCGCACGGCGUAGGUAAGACCAUUGCACGUUUUUGUUGCAUCUUCAGGGUUGACUGACUGCGGACUACAAUGUUUAUUCUUGUUCUUGGUAGUUUUGUAGGUGUGUUUCGGCCCCUAAAGAUAACUUUAUUUGACUUAACCAAAUGAUUUUUCUUCAUCUAGAAAGACAAUUUCUUACAUGUAUAAAAAAAUUAUAAUCCCUUAGAAAAUUUGCUUAAAUGAUUGUUAAAUUUAAUAUUAAUUAUUGUCGAUUAUAUGUUUGGGCACUAAUUGCAUGUGAAGGCCUUACACUUGUUGCCCCUUCUUGACCAAGGAAAAGUACGUCAACUCGUGUACGUGGUCCUACAAUCGGAAAAGGAGUGCAAAAAAGGAUUGUGAGAAAAAAAAGGGGAGAAACUACAUGUAUAUGUCAAUCACAUGCUCAAUGCCCUCACUGGAGGGAAUGCCACGCCUGCAACAAAUGAGUUAGGCUUGUUGAUAAGGCUGUUGUGCCCUCUAAAGGGAGUGAAGUCAUGGAAGAAAAUUGAUCAAAGUGUCAAAGAUGCUGUAGUACAAGCUGUGACAAGUUUGAAAUUGGUGAGGAUUUUCAUACUG